AGCUCCGCCGUGGGAGCCCUGGAGGCCCGGCCUGGCCGCUCCCGGCCCUGGGGUGCACAUCGGCCCUGAGUCCCGUCCCAGGCUCUGGGCUCGGGCAGCUGCCGCCACCGCUGCCCAGGACGUCGGGCCUCCUGCCUUCCUCCCAGGCCCCCACGUUGCUGGCCGCCUGGCCGAGUGGCCGCCAUGCUCCUGCCUUGGGCCACCUCUGCCCCCGGCCUGGCCUGGGGGCCUCUGGUGCUGGGCCUCUUCGGGCUCCUGGCAGCAUCCCAGCCCCAGGCGGUGCCUCCAUAUGCGUCGGAGAACCAGACCUGCAGGGACCAGGAAAAGGAAUACUAUGAGCCCCAGCACCGCAUCUGCUGCUCCCGCUGCCCGCCAGGCACCUAUGUCUCAGCUAAAUGUAGCCGCAUCCGGGACACAGUUUGUGCCACUUGUGCCGAAAAUUCCUACAACGAGCACUGGAACUACCUGACCAUCUGCCAGCUGUGCCGCCCCUGUGACCCAGGUGAGUGGGGAUGUGCCUGCGGGGGGGCUGGAUCCCCUGGAACUUGGCCCCUCCCUGAGCCCUCCCGUCUCCCCCGCCAGUGAUGGGCCUCGAGGAGAUUGCCCCCUGCACAAGCAAACGGAAGACCCAGUGCCGCUGCCAGCCGGGAAUGUUCUGUGCUGCCUGGGCCCUCGAGUGUACACACUGCGAGCUACUUUCUGACUGCCCGCCUGGCACUGAAGCCGAGCUCAAAGAUGAAGUUGGGAAGGGUAACAACCACUGCGUCCCCUGCAAGGCAGGGCACUUCCAGAAUACCUCCUCCCCCAGCGCCCGCUGCCAGCCCCACACCAGGUGUGAGGACCAAGGUCUGGUGGAGGCAGCUCCAGGCACUGCCCAGUCUGACACAACCUGCAGAAAUCCAUCAGAGCCACUGCCCCCAGAGAUGUCA
rnacentral:sRNA from 1 species